GCCUGCUGGCACAUUAGAGGUCUUUCCAUCUCAAGCAGCCAACACUAUGAAAUACUGUCCAUGAAGAAAAUGAGACCUAGAGAAGUCAAGGACCUCGCCUAAGAUCCCUUGCCUGUAAGGAUGAAGCUGGGAUUCAAAUUCAGACAGCCUGGGUCCCAGAGCCAGCAUGCUUCCAAC
rnacentral:lncRNA from 1 species